UUGUCUCAGCAUAGGAUCUAUGUUGGGGACAGCGUGGCAUAAGGAAGACUCAUUCUUUACACUGUGUCAAGUGCUUUGCAUGUGUGAUUUCAGCUUAUCACCAUUAGGUAUAUGGCAUUACCGAUACAUCACCGAAUAAGGUACUGAAGGCUAGAAAGGUCACGUGCAACUCGAGUCACAUCCUUCCAAAUGCUAAAGCCAGCUGACCAGGGUCUUAUGGCUCUACUCCUGACUAGUAGUGCAUUCACUGCUCAUAUUUUUUUAAAAAGAAAAAUAGUGUAACUAGCAUAUAUAUAUAUAUAUAUAUAUAUAUAUAUCAACUUAAAAAGGCAUUGUCAUGAAUUGUACACAUCCUUCAUACCCUUACCCAAGGUUACCAUCCAUUAGCAUAUUAGCAUUUGUUGCUUAUUCCUGUGCGUGCAUUUCCCACAUUAUUAUUAUCAUUAUUGUUGUUGCUGUUGUUAUUUGGAAACAGGAUCCCUCUGUGUAGUUCUGGCUGGCUUGGAACUUACUAUGAUGGCUUCAGACUCACAGAGAUCCCCCUGCCUCUGCCUUUCAAGUACUAGGCACAUACCCUCAUGCUGAUUUUUUUGUUGAAAGUUUGCAUAUUCUACAAUAUUUUCUUUUUCACCUGAUAUGAUAUUUAUAGACUCCUCAUGACAGGCCUCUUUUAGAAUCUGUGAUAAAACACAAGAACCUUGGGGAGGAAAGGAUUUAUUUUACCUCAUACAUCUACAGCAUAGUCCAUUCAUGAAGUCAGGGAGAGGACUAUCAAAUACGACAGAAACUUGGAGGCAGGGGCUGAUGUAGAGGCCAUGGAGGGGUGCUGCUUACUGGCUUGCUCAUCAUGGCUUGCUCUGCCUGCUUUCUUAGAGAACCCAGGACCUCCAGCCCAGGGAUGGCUCCACCCACAGUGGGCUGGGCCCUUCCCCUUCAAUCACUAAUUAAGAAAAUGCCCUACAGAUUUGCCUACAGCCUGAUCUUAUGGAGGCAUUUUCUUAACUGAGGCUCCCUCCUUUCAGAUGACUCUAGCUUGUCAACAUAAAACCAGGCAGCAUAAGCACAGAAAAUUAUUUUCUUUUGCAGUGACACAUAUAUGUAUUUGAUUCUAUUCUUCUUCUUUUUAUAGCCUUCUGGGUUGCCUUCCAUCUUUUGUUGAUGUAAGUGAUGUAUCUUACAGGUGCAAGUUGUACCUGUCAGGGCCGGUGCUCCUUCUCACUUUUUAUCCUAACAUUACUGUGAUGACCACCAAGUUCAUGCCAUUUGGACAAGAUCAGUGUUUUCUACUUCCUGCCUUAAGGACUCUCAAUUGCUGCUGUCGCGUGAGAUGCCCUAAGAUACGUUGAGGGCCCAACCAUUCAAAUCAGCAGCGGAGCGAGUCUUAGAGAAUCAGGAGAAAAGGAGAUGGGAGGCAGCAAGAAAGGACCCUCUUCCCCGCUCACCCUCCAACGGAUCUCGAAUCAGCAGUCACGUGGUCUUAGGAUCCCGGUAGAUGAAGUGCGUAAGUGGUACGGGAUUGUGGCCUGCUUAGUAAUAUACCCCGUUGUGCCCUCUUUUUUCUACCUCUUUCCCAUUUUCCUUUACUUCCACUUUUCUACGGUCUUGGAUGAUGCAGCAACAUAUAAAUGUGUUUGACCCAAGCCAUCCACUCGGAAGAACCAGACUUAAAAACCAGGCAUAACUCAGUUGAGGCUUUUGGAGUUGUUUUCUCUCUGAUCUGAUGCCAGUCUCAACUUGUCCACUGACUCAAAGCCAGCUAAUUGAAGUGAUGAGGUGCACAGCCUUGAGGAAGUAUCCACGACAUCAUCACAACUGUGUACUUCACUCUGUUCCUGAAGAGGCUCUCGAUCCCUCCACCCUGCAGGACAGCUCUCCACUGCGAUGGAGAGGUCAACUUCUGUUUUUAAAGUAUAUUGUUGCUGUCUUCAGACACACCAGAAGAGGGCAUCAGAUGUCAUUACAGAUGGUUGUGAGCCACCAUGUGGUUGCUGGGAUUUGAACUCAAAACCUCUGGAAGAACAGUCAGUGCUCUUAACCACUGAGCCACCUCUCUCCGGCCCAAGAGAGGUCAACUUUCUGACAGUCGACGGAAGAAACACCUUUGUAGGUUCUUUCAUAGAUGAGUCUUGACUCUAGACCAUGUAUGGAGUCUUGACUCUAGACCAUCUUUAGAUCAGUUAUGUAGUUAUUUUCCUUUAUCCCGACUACAUAAUUAGAAUAACUAUUAUUGAUACAGAAGUACCUUUUUUAAAAAAAUUAACAUUAGACUUGCGAGGAAGAACAAAAAUGCUAAUGACUGCCCUGGGAAAUUCCUUAAAGCUGCCACCACCCUUUGCCAAGAUAGUAACACACCUUCAGGGAAAUAGCAAACCUGACUGCAAAAGACCCAAACACUUCAGGGUGACGGUCUCCAGUGUAUCACAGAUUAAUUCUUGAUCUGGAAAAACAGACACUGUGGGGAAAGCUUGGAGUGCUGUGCAAAUUGGUGGCAUACACAGACCAACAUUCAACUGAUUUUUGAUGAAAGUGCUAAGAAGACACAUUAAAGAAACACCGUCCUUUCAGUGAAUGCUGCUAAGAGCUAGUUACCUUGUAUAUACACAUGCAGACAAAUGGAAGUAUAAGUCAAUCUCUCAUGGUUCAAAAAAAAAAAAAGAUGAAAGGCUUACAUGUAGCACUUAAACUAUGGCUGUCCUAGAAGGAAAUAUGGUGGGAAUGUGUCAAGACAAGGCAACGGAUUUUUAAAUAAAGCUCCAAAUCACAAGAGGCAAGCAGACAAGUAGCCUUCUCUUCAACUAAAAAGACCCAGCAAAACAACAGCCAACAAUGAGAAGAGGAAUCUACAGCACAGGAGAAAGUACUUAUGCACUAUUCACCUAACAAGAACUUAAUAUGUAGGAUUUAUAAAAGAUUAAAAGUCAAUAAUCAAACUUAAAUGAUCUGUUUUAACAAUGGAUAAUAGUCAUAAGUUGGCAUUUUGACAAGAGAAGACACAGAAGUUAUUAUUAGGGGAAAAUGCUCAAGACCAAAUUAUUGGAGAAGUACAAUUCAGAGCAAUGGUGGGCUUACUUUCCUCCAGUUAGAAUGCUAUCAUCAUCAUCAUCAUCAUCAUCAUCAUCAUCAUCAUUAAUUUUAAAACUGAAAGAAACAAGAGUUGGUGUGAAUGUGGACAACAGGGAACUCUUUCUGAUGGAAAUUAUGGAAACCAUUAUGGAAAAAUGGUAGCUCCUUAAAUAAUUAUAAUCAAAAGAUCUGGCAGUUCCACUGUUGAAUGUAUGUAUAUUCAGGGAUACAGAAUCAGUAUGCUGAAGACAUCUGCUCUCACAUGACUGCAAUGCCGUUCACAACAGGCAAGAAGUGGAAACAAGCUAAGGAUGCAUUAGUCGAUGAAUGGACUUUAAAAUGUGUCUGUACCCGCAAUGGGUACUAUUAGGCUGUGAAGAUAACAGAAACCUGGCCUUUGCAGUGACACAGAUGGGCUGGACAUCAUUGCUAAACGGAGCCGGUGCAGCACGGAACUGUGAGCAUCAUAGGCUCUCGCUCCUGUGUGUACUGAAGAAGUGUUGUUCUCAUAGAAGAUGCAAGGAUGAGCAGAGUCGUCCAGUGAGGACCAAGGCACAGUUAGAUGGCAGAAGAAGGUUCUGGUGUACUCUGGCACGGCAGGGUGAAUAUCGUCCACAGCAGUGCAUUUUAAAAAUCUAAGAGAAAGUAUUUUGAGUGUUUGCAUCAUGAAGUAAAUGAUGCGUGUCUGAGGAGAGAGCAGUUUCUAACCUGACAAACAUUAUGUAAACCGCUAUGUAUCAAAACAUUGUAUUUUCCAACGAAUGCACAUGAAUGCAAUGCAUAUGUGGCAGGUUUAAAAAUUAACUUUAAUCCACAGGGACUAUUUUUUAAAAGAAAACAAACUGGAGCGCAACAGUACUUCAGUGUGGUUUCAAUUUAUGUGUCUCUGACAAUUGCUCACGUUUCAGUUUAAUUCAGUUGAUUAUUACUGAAGCAACUGGAAACCCACUCAUCCAAGAGAAGCCAGCAUUCUGUAUGUUACUCGUCACUUGUUACAGCAACCAAUGUGGGUUCAUGUGGUUAUUUGAAUGGGAAAUGUCCUCCAUGGCUCAGGUGUUUGAACACAUGGUCCAGCUGAUGUUGCAGAUUGGGAAAACUUAGGGCUGGCCUCGCUGGAGGAAUGGCUUCCCUGUGGGAGGACUUUGAAAGGAUAUAGCCUCACCCCAUUUCCAGUUUUCAUCUUGACUUCAAGCUGGCACUGGAGGACGUGAGCUACCAGCUUCCAGAUCCUGUUGCCUUGACUGCCUUCCACCGUGAUGGACUCUUAAUGCCUCUGGCACCAUAGCCAAAACAAACCCUUUCUUCUAGAAGAUGCUUCGGUCCUAGUGUUUUGUUACAGCAGCAGUUCAGAAACUAAUACAUCCGUGAAUCAAAUGCUUGCUUGGUCUUUCAGACUGGUAAGCAUCAUCUCUUGUGUAGGUGGUGUAAUUGUCCAGGUUUGGAGAUUUGGAUGUCCCAGUCUCACGUGUUGGGCAAUUGUUUCUUGCUGGCGGUAUUUGGGAAGGUUUAGGAAUUUAGGAGGUGAGACGUAUUUGCAAGAAGUAUAUCACUGAAGAGUGACUGUGAAGGCUGGUCUCCAGUCCUCAUCCUCACUCUGUGCUUCCCACCUCCUAUGAAGUGAAGAACCACUUCUGCCACACACUCAGUCCUCCAUGACUCUUGGCUUCUUCAGGGGACCAGAGUCAAUGAAUCUAAGAGCUAUGGACAUAAAAACAUAAUGGCAUGAGAUAAAAUAAAUAGUUCUUGGAUCUGA